rnacentral:piRNA from 1 species
UACCUUGCUCUGUGUGGGAGUUUGGA